AAAAAACUUUAAGUCACCUGAUCCGUGACGUCACGAACGCCUUCGACAUUUCAAGAGGGUUCAGCCGCAGACAGGCACUCUCAAAAGGAGACCAUACGUAAUUUUUACAAUUACCGAUCGAUGAACUCAGAGCUGAAAAGUCUUUAAAUAUGGAAAUAUUCAGAGUCGGAGCACGUCUGUCAGGAAAACCUUGUGUAAACCAGGCUACAGUUUGAACCCAGUCCAAUUAAGACCUAAUCACUGUGUCACCAUGCACCCCAUACCAUCUGCAAAGAUUAGGAGCUUUAACCUUUAUCCAAAGUAUGUAACGUGCACAGAAGAGUGAUGUGGUGCAAAGAACAAAAUGAUCAAGAGUUCACACAGGACCUUAUUGCUUCAAAGAGAUCAUGACUUCAUGGAGAAUAUUAAUGCUUCAAUGCAUUGCAUAGUCUUCAGCAACAAUUCUCCAAACUCCAAACCUGACUUUGUAAAAUGGUACCAGGGCUUGUUGUCAACCAGUCAACCAAUUUGUCAUCCAGCCCCCAUCCACAAUAGUUCUUGGUUGAAUAAAAAGUACAAGCCCAUGUAAAGAAGCCCCAGAAAAAGUAACAGCUGGGGCACCCAUUUAAGUCCAGGGUACUGGGAGUUGACAGAUUGUAUGCCUGAACUCUACCAUGCUGUUAGGUGGCUGCAGGGAGGCUUUUCAUCCAAUAUCUGUCUCUCACAAUUAAUGCAUCCUCCUGGCCAUAAUGCAGGUCAAAAACAUAUAGGAGUACAACUGGCAGGAAGAAGAGAGGUGUAAGAAGGAAGAAGGGUGGAAGGAUUAGGUGGUGAAUAUGUAAAAGGUUUGUAAUUUUAUUUGUUUUGUUAAUCUUUGUAUGUUUUGCUUCCAAAGUCAUGUCCCCAACUGUACUGUUACCUUUUCAUUAUAGUAAACAAUUUUUUUCUUUA